CUUUAGGUCAGUCAGUUAGCCCACUACGCCAUCAGAGACUGGAUUAGAGCUGGACUGGACCUCCACUUUCGGAAAGAUCACCGCGUAAUGGAGACUCGCUUUUGACCUAGAAGCUGACAGAUGGAUUGGCCUUGCCUACUUCAUUGCUCACCUUUUUUCUCCCUUCCUUUCUUCUUUAAAGUCGCGAUUUCAACGAUCUGGUCCUUCGCCCCAGACCACUCUUAUUUCCCUGUCACCCGAAGUAACAAAGUCACACAGCCACCCCCAGCUCUUCGCAAAUUGGACCUUCAACUUCCCUACGACUUCCGGAAACGCGUCUUGGAUGAGCCUAACCGCCGUAUACCUUGAA
rnacentral:lncRNA from 1 species